UUUUCAAUUAUUGCACAUAAAAAUUACAGAAAAAAAAGUGGAAUACUUACUCUUGGAAAAGAUGUGUGUGAAGAAAACUUGUAUGCAAGGAUAAUCCCAAGGGUAAUAAGGAUCUCUAGCUACAACACCUAUCCAUGGUAACUGUGGAUAAUCUCCAAGGAUAAUCAUCUGGCAUAUGGGGCCUCAUUCCAACAGCUGAAACAGCAAGUGGGAAGAUCGAUAACUAUGGAGCAAUGACAAUGCAAGAUAUGAGAUAUAAAAUAGAUAUUUAUAAAUAUUUAUAAAUGGAUAUAUUUAAAUGCAACCUGAUGCAUACGCUUACGUGUUAAAUUAUUGCCUUUUCCAAACUGAUAACAAUCCUAAGCAUGCAACUCAUAUAAUAAUAUUAAAGUUAGAUGUAAAAAUUUUGUCAUGGCCCUCUUCAAUUAGAUUUAGUUAAUAAAGUUAAACAAUAUAUGUAGUAAAAAAGUAAGAACAUUGCAUUAAUAAUAACGCCCAACAUCUUUCAUUACUAAAUUAUCUUAAGUAGCCAUGCUUGUAAAUUAUUAGUUCAAGCUAAAGGUAUGUUAGUAUUAUAUUACAGAAUGUCCACCAUGUAUUACUUAUAAAUUUAAUAUAUGAAGAAUUAGUUUUACAAAAUGUUAAUCGUAUUUAUCGUUUAAAAUGUAAAACAAUCUUAAAUAGUUGACCAUUACUUUAACUUUGGUAUUCUUGUAGAGUCUAUGUACCUAAGAUUGUAGAUAAUACAGUAUUUAAAUUUUUUAAAUUUGAACUUGUUUGGUACUUUCCAUUAUUAUUGGCUAGUAUUAGGAUCUGUUGUGUUCUUUGUACUAUAACUAUUUGAAUAUACAAAAUCCGACAAGUUGGUCAUACCAUAGCAGUCAACAUGUUAACUGUUUUCUAAAUAACCCGAGCUGUUCUUUUCAAUAACACAAAAUUUUCUAGUAUGGCUUGUUCAAAUUGUUACUUUAGUGUAUCGGUUCGCCAACGUUACAAACACUGCUGUUCCAUUAACCUGCUUAACUGAGCUAUUUCUUGAUCGUAAAUGAAUAUGUAAUAAAAAAUGAACGAAUGCGAAGCAAUAUAUCUUAUCGGUAAAAGAAUACAUAGAUUUUAUUUUAUAGAGUAGCGUAAUGAAAUAUUGGUUUAAUGAAAUUGUGGAAUUUAAGUAAUUGUGUUUAAGAAUUGAAAAUCUUAAAUAUCUACACUAACAGAGUGUCUAAUUACUUUUUUGACUCACUAUUGCGUUAGUAAUAUAAUUGACGCGGUGAUCCGCUGACCUGUAUGACAAAAUUUUAACAGACAUUUUUCUAAUGUAAACAUAUUAAUAAUUUGAAAUAACAGAUUUAAAGCAACUGAAAGAAUGUGAUAACAUGAACAAUAUAUAUACAUUACUAAAAAUUUUCAUCAUGUAUUAGAUGAUCUAUAGCUUGAAAAGUUUCCAUGUUACAAAAAUGCAUGCAUGAAACAGUGAAAGUUCUUUCUCCUUUCUGCAAUGUUACAAUUACUAAUGAUUUUGUUACAUUUUAUUUGCUGCAUUUAAGCAAUUACCUACUGGAAUUUGCAGUUGAUCAAUUUUAAUUUCACAGUUUCUAUUUAUUUCCAAAUAGCGUUACGAUUGUAGUAUUAAACUGUAAUUUGCACAGAAUUUUCUAGUACCGAUUAUCUACCACAUUCCUAAACCCAUCCCUAAACUCUAUCGCUUAGAAUCAAGGAAAAGGAAAGCUGGCUAGUACGCAAUAGCUCCUUUUGUUCUCGCGUAUUCGACUGAGAUUAAUGCGA